GACGAACGCUGGCGGCGUGCUUAACACAUGCAAGUCGAACGGAAAGGCCCUGCUUUUGUGGGGUGCUCGAGUGGCGAACGGGUGAGUAACACGUGAGUAACCUGCCUUGACUUUGGGAUAACUUCAGGAAACUGGGGCUAAUACCGGAUAGGAGCUCCUGCUGCCUGGUGGGGGUUGGAAAGUUUCGGCGGUUGGGGAUGGACUCGCGGCUUAUCAGCUUGUUGGUGGGGUAGUGGCUUACCAAGGCUUUGACGGGUAGCCGGCCUGAGAGGGUGACCGGCCACAUUGGGACUGAGAUACGGCCCAGACUCCUACGGGAGGCAGCAGUGGGGAAUAUUGCACAAUGGGCGGAAGCAUGAUGCAGCAACGCCGCGUGCGGGAUGACGGCCUUCGGGUUGUAAACCGCUUUCGCCUGUGACGAAGCGUGAGGGACGGUAAUGGGCAAAGAAGCACCGGCGAACUACGU
rnacentral:rRNA from 1 species